rnacentral:lncRNA from 1 species
CAUUUUGUACCCAAAACAAACGCGCUACCAAGCUGCGCUACAUCCCUUUCAAUUGGCCUACAAUAUCAUUGUAAAGAAUCCCUGUCUUGUUUUCCACAUCCUUAUUUUUUAUUCCCUCUAGUGAUAUGCAAAAUGGAUCUUGCCUUUUCUUGUUUUUGGUCUCAUAUCAUAUACCAUAUAAUAAUAAUAAAUUAUUAUUUUUCUUGGGAAUUCGCAGGUGUAAAGUGACCCUUUUUCUGUUUUAAGAAAAAAAAAAAAGAAAAUCAAAUCUUAUAUACCGAAUCAUUGCGCAUUUCAAUUUGAAUUAGGGAUUCCGCGCACAAAUACAAGUGGCCUUUAACUACAUAUACAUCUCUUACCAUAAUAUAUUCCAAUAGGGAAUACAAAAACAAAAAAGAAGGAGGAUUUUUCAAUGCGAGAUCUAAAAACAUAUCUUUCC